UGAUACUUUAUGUCAGACAACCC
rnacentral:piRNA from 1 species